GAGUUUGAUCAUGGCUCAGAUUGAACGCUGGCGGCAUGCCUUACACAUGCAAGUCGAACGGCAGCACGGGAGCUUGCUCCUGGUGGCGAGUGGCGAACGGGUGAGUAAUGCAUCGGAACGUAUCCUGGAGUGGGGGAUAACGUAGCGAAAGUUACGCUAAUACCGCAUAUUCUGUGAGCAGGAAAGCGGGGGACCUUCGGGCCUCGCGCUCUUGGAGCGGCCGAUGUCGGAUUAGCUAGUUGGUGAGGUAAAGGCUCACCAAGGCGACGAUCCGUAGCAGGUCUGAGGGGAUGAUCUGCCACACUGGAACUGAGACACGGUCCAGACUCCUACGGGAGGCAGCAGUGGGAAUUUUGGACAAUGGGGGCAACCCUGAUCCAGCCAUGCCGCGUGAGUGAAGAAGGCCU
rnacentral:rRNA from 1 species